UGGGCUCGUUCAGCCUCUCCCUGGAAACCUCCUGCUCGAGGGUCUUCGUUCCUGUCGUUGCUCUCGUGUCCUGAGAUUGCGUGCUCAGAUUACAAGUUCUACGGUAAGAUGCACGGUCCAAAUACAAGUUUCGAGUGCGUACUUCCAUCUCAAAUAAGAAGAGUUACUCGCGAGAGUCUGGAAUUCCCAAACCCACGAGACUCUCGGAAACAGCAGGAAGCAUCGAUCAAUCUUAGCGCUUCGGGAGUAGCAAUUAAGCUCGGGAAGAUCAAGUUCUCGGGAAAAAACGAGAAGGGUCCAUUGGCGUAACUAGGAUCUUUGUCCGAGGGGAGGCAGUCUUACACGAACUUUGGACAAUUAAUAUAUUUUUGUGUCGUUAAUAUUUCAAUAUUGCAUCGGCAGUAUGCAUAAUAGAUAUCAUGAAAGUGGAAGUUUGUAAAUUCAGAAAUAUCGAUAGUAUAUUGAUUGUCCGAGGUUUGCGUUAAAUCACCAUGCGUUAUAUCGCCGAUUGCUGCAUAUCCACGUGUUCGAUCAUGCGUAGCUUUACAUACUCCGACAUAAAUCAUUCGAUCACGCAAUAUAUCGACAUAUGCCAUAUCUGUAGAUCCAGAGUGAGAGAUAGUAGGAGCACCCUGUCUAGUUACGCCACUGCGAGAAUCUCUCGUUCGCGAGAUUCAAUAAACCUCGCGACUGGAAUUUCGUUUGUAGGAGGAAAAGUUUGCCCGAGUGCAGCGCAGACGGGCUACCGAGCCGUUUUUAUUUCCCAGAAAAGAAACGAGGAGAAACGUAAUAGAAAGGUCGAGGAAAAGGGGCGAAAAAGGAUCGUCAGCCCCUUUUUUACCGGGUCGUUCGCGACAAUGCGAUAUUAACGAGACACCUGACGAGUAGCGUGUAACUCGAUUUCUUAAUUUGACUUUUUAAUCGAGAUUUAACGAGCGGAGAGGAAAGACGGGGAACUCUGGUCGGUGUUGUAGACGUGGCAGUGAACGGUGUCGAACCUGGUCGUUGAAGUGGCGCGGGGACGAUGGCAAGGGGCAGGGGAUUAUGACGGCAAGCAUGUUGGAAACGAGGUCAAAGGGGAUGAGUGGAUGGCUAAGGAAAGUGUACGACCGAGCGGAUAUAAAAUUUCACGAUAACUCGGUUAUGAAACUGCGCGUUUCGUUCGAGCAAACGCCGCUUCCGUGCGAGGACCACCUCUUCUAGUCUUUUCAAAGCGCGUCGAGUUGUUCUGUUGCUUUUUUACUCCUCGUUCCAUUCUAUCCUUCGCUUCUUGAGCAAAAUGGUUCCUACGAUUACCGCGAGACGUUCGGUCACCGAUUUUUCUAUUCGUCAAGCUCUUUUGCUUAUUUUAACACCGAAUAAUUAUUACGUUAUUAAACUUGAAUGUUUUCUGCAGAUAAUAAUUUGCAAAAGUGUCUCGUACCAAGGUAGAAUUGUACCAAUGUAAUUUUCUAAAUAUCCGAUGACGUUGCAAUCAGUCUAUUUGUAAAUUAAAAAAUUUCAAAGCGUU